UACUAAAUCUCGAAUAUAGUAUAUUUGUAUAAUUUAAAUAUAAUGUUAAUUUAGGAGGAAGUAUUAUUUUUGAAGGAAAUGAUGAAGUAAUUAUUGAAAUUCAAUAACAUUGGGUAAAAUCGAAUGGAUAUUCGACGUGGAACUAGAUUAAAGUGUUUAUUUAAAUUCUUAUUAUUAAAUUAAAAUAUUUUUAAUAGACGAUUACUGCCAUAUGUUUGAUAUUGUUUCCAUUCAUUCUAUGAAGCACCUAAUAGCUAAAUUAUUUGUCCAAGGAGAUUGUUCUGAUUUAGUGGCGGUUUAAGAAAUCAAAAAAUCGAAUAUAGAUAAUUAUUGAACUAAAAUAUUAUAAUUAAUAAUCAUAUUAU
rnacentral:rRNA from 1 species